GAUGAACGCUAGCGAUAGGCUUAACACAUGCAAGUCGAGGGGCAGCAUUAUUUUAGCUUGCUAAGAUAGAUGGCGACCGGCGCACGGGUGCGUAACGCGUAUGCAACCUGCCUGUAAUUAGGGAAUAACCCGGUGAAAGUCGGACUAAUACCCUAUAUUCUUCUUUCUCCGCAUGGAGGAGGACGGAAAGAUUUAUUGAUUACAGAUGGGCAUGCGUCCCAUUAGCUAGUUGGUAAGGUAACGGCUUACCAAGGCAACGAUGGGUAGGGGGACUGAGAGGUUGACCCCCCACACUGGUACUGAGACACGGACCAGACUCCUACGGGAGGCAGCAGUGAGGAAUAUUGGUCAAUGGGCGAGAGCCUGAACCAGCCAAGUCGCGUGAAGGACGACGGUUCUAUGGAUUGUAAACUUCUUUUGUAGAGGAAUAAUGGCAGCUACGUGUAGCUGAGAUGCAUGUACUCUACGAAUAAGUAUCGGCUAACUCCGUGCCAGCAGCCGCGGUAAUACGGAGGAUACGAGCGUUAUCCGGAAUUAUUGGGUUUAAAGGGUGCGUAGGUGGCGUAUUAAGUCAGUGGUGAAAAGCUGCAGCUCAACUGUAGUCUUGCCGUUGAAACUGAUAUGCUAGAGAGGAGACGAGGUAUGCGGAAUGUGUGGUGUAGCGGUGAAAUGUAUAGAUAUCACACAGAACGCCGAUUGCGAAGGCAGCAUACCAGGCUCCGUCUGACACUGAAGCACGAAAGCGUGGGGAUCAAACAGG
rnacentral:rRNA from 1 species